rnacentral:miRNA from 10 species
CUCGUAGCAGUGUUCUGGAAUCCUGUAUGAGGGACAAACCUUCAGAACCCAGCAACAGUGUUCUGGAAUACUUUGUGAGGG